UACGGGGGGGGCAAGCGUUGUUCGGAAUUACUGGGCGUAAAGGGCUCGUAGGCGGCCAACUAAGUCGGAUGUGAAAUCCCCAGGCUUAACCUGGGAACUGCAUCCGAUACUGGCAGGCUUGAAUCCGGGAGAGGGAUGUGGAAUUCCAGGUGUAGCGGUGAAAUGCGUAGAUAUCUGGAGGAACACCGGUGGCGAAGGCGGCAUCCUGGACCGGCAUUGACGCUGAGGCGCGAAAGCCAGGGGAGCAAACGGG
rnacentral:rRNA from 1 species